CUUUGCUGCUGAUAGCAUCACUGUUACUGCGUAUCUGUGUUGACAUCCACAGGUGGAUUAUGAAAAGCCUGUGCAGAACGAAGGGAGCAGAUCACGUGUGUUUAUGUGUCUGUAUUAGCCGCUAACGCUGGAAAGACGUGGAGCUGUUCUGUCUGUGCCGGGGUGGGUUCUGUGUGGGUUCUGUCUGUGCCUGUGUGGGUUCUGUCUGUGCCUGUGUGGGUUCUGUCUGUGCCUGUGUGGGUUCUGUGUGGGUUCUGUCUGUGCUUGUGUGGGUUCUGUCUGUGCUUGUGUGGGUUCUGUCUGUGCCUGUGUGGGUUCUGUCUGUGCCGGAGUGGGUUCUGUCUGUGCCGAGGUGGGUUCUGUGUGGGUUCUGUCUGUGCCUGUGUGGGUUCUGUCUGUGCCGGAGUGGGUUCUGUCUGUGCCUGUGUGGGUUCUGUGUGGGUUCUGUCUGUGCCUGUGUGGGUUCUGCCUGUGCAUGUGUGGGUUCUGCCUGUGCCUGUGUGGGUUCUGUGUGGGUUCUGUCUGUGCAUGUGUGGGUUCUGCCUGUGCCUGUGUGGGUUCUGUGUGGGUUCUGUCUGUGCUUGUGUGGGUUCUGUCUGUGCCUGUGUGGGUUCUGCCUGUGCCUGUGUGGGUUCUGUCUGUGCCUGUGUGGGUUCUGUCUGUGCUUGUGUGGGUUCUGUCUGUGCCUGUGUGGGUUCUGUCUGUGCUUGUGUGGGUUCUGUCUGUGCUUGUGUGGGUUCUGUCUGUGCCUGUGUGGGUUCUGUGUGGGUUCUGUCUGUGCUUGUGUGGGUUCUGUCUGUGCUUGUGUGGGUUCUGUCUGUGCCGGGGUGGGUUCUGUGUGGGUUCUGUCUGUGCCUGUGUGGGUUCUGUCUGUGCCUGUGUGGGUUCUGUCUGUGCCGGGGUGGGUUCUGUGUGGGUUCUGUCUGUGCCUGUGUGGGUUCUGUGUGGGUUCUGUCUGUGCCUGUGUGGGUUCUGCCUGUGCAUGUGUGGGUUCUGCCUGUGCCUGUGUGGGUUCUGUGUGGGUUCUGUCUGUGCUUGUGUGGGUUCUGUCUGUGCCUGUGUGGGUUCUGUCUGUGCCGGAGUGGGUUCUGUCUGUGCCGGGGUGGGUUCUGUGUGGGUUCUGUCUGUGCCUGUGUGGGUUCUGUCUGUGCCGGAGUGGGUUCUGUCUGUGCCGGAGUGGGUUCUGUCUGUGCCGGGGUGGGUUCUGUGUGGGUUCUGUCUGUGCCUGUGUGGGUUCUGCCUGUGCAUGUGUGGGUUCUGCCUGUGCCUGUGUGGGUUCUGUGUGGGUUCUGUCUGUGCUUGUGUGGGUUCUGUCUGUGCCUGUGUGGGUUCUGCCUGUGCCUGUGUGGGUUCUGUCUGUGCCUGUGUGGGUUCUGUCUGUGCUUGUGUGGGUUCUGUCUGUGCCUGUGUGGGUUCUGUCUGUGCCUGUGUGGGUUCUGUGUGGGUUCUGUCUGUGCUUGUGUGGGUUCUGUCUGUGCUUGUGUGGGUUCUGUCUGUGCCUGUGUGGGUUCUGUCUGUGCUUGUGUGGGUUCUGUCUGUGCCUGUGUGGGUUCUGUCUGUGCCGGAGUGGGUUCUGUCUGUGCCGGGGUGGGUUCUGUGUGGGUUCUGUCUGUGCCUGUGUGGGUUCUGUCUGUGCCUGUGUGGGUUCUGCCUGUGCAUGUGUGGGUUCUGCCUGUGCCUGUGUGGGUUCUGCCUGUGCCUGUGUGGGUUCUGUCUGUGCCUGUGUGGGUUCUGCCUGUGCAUGUGUGGGUUCUGUCUGUGCCUGUGUGGGUUCUGUCUGUGCUUGUGUGGGUUCUGUCUGUGCCGGGGUGGGUUCUGUGUGGGUUCUGUCUGUGCCUGUGUGGGUUCUGCCUGUGCAUGUGUGGGUUCUGUCUGUGCUUGUGUGGGUUCUGUCUGUGCCUGUGUGGGUUCUGUGUGGGUUCUGUCUGUGCCUGUGUGGGUUCUGUCUGUGCCUGUGUGGGUUCUGUCUGUGCCGGGGUGGGUUCUGUGUGGGUUCUGUCUGUGCCUGUGUGGGUUCUGCCUGUGCAUGUGUGGGUUCUGUCUGUGCUUGUGUGGGUUCUGUCUGUGCCUGUGUGGGAUCUGUGUGGGUUCUGUCUGUGCUUGUGUGGGUUCUGUCUGUGCCUGUGUGGGUUCUGCCUGUGCCUGUGUGGGUUCUGUCUGUGCUUGUGUGGGUUCUGUCUGUGCCUGUGUGGGUUCUGUCUGUGCCUGUGUGGGUUCUGUCUGUGCCGGGGUGGGUUCUGUGUGGGUUCUGUCUGUGCCUGUGUGGGUUCUGCCUGUGCAUGUGUGGGUUCUGUCUGUGCUUGUGUGUGUUCUGUCUGUGCCUGUGUGGGUUCUGUCUGUGCCUGUGUGGGUUCUGUGUGGGUUCUGUCUGUGCUUGUGUGGGUUCUGUCUGUGCUUGUGUGGGUUCUGUCUGUGCCUGUGUGGGUUCUGUCUGUGCUUGUGUGGGUUCUGUCUGUGCCUGUGUGGGUUCUGCCUGUGCCUGUGUGGGUUCUGUCUGUGCUUGUGUGGGUUCUGUCUGUGCCUGUGUGGGUUCUGUCUGUGCCGGAGUGGGUUCUGUCUGUGCCGGGGUGGGUUCUGUGUGGGUUUUGUCUGUGCCUGUGUGGGUUCUGUCUGUGCCGGAGUGGGUUCUGUCUGUGCCUGUGUGGGUUCUGUGUGGGUUCUGUCUGUGCCUGUGUGGGUUCUGCCUGUGCAUGUGUGGGUUCUGCCUGUGCCUGUGUGGGUUCUGUGUGGGUUCUGUCUGUGCAUGUGUGGGUUCUGCCUGUGCCUGUGUGGGUUCUGUGUGGGUUCUGUCUGUGCUUGUGUGGGUUCUGUCUGUGCCUGUGUGGGUUCUGUCUGUGCCUGUGUGGGUUCUGCCUGUGCCUGUGUGGGUUCUGUCUGUGCUUGUGUGGGUUCUGUCUGUGCCUGUGUGGGUUCUGUGUGGGUUCUGUCUGUGCUUGUGUGGGUUCUGUCUGUGCUUGUGUGGGUUCUGUCUGUGCCUGUGUGGGUUCUGUCUGUGCCGGAGUGGGUUCUGUCUGUGCCGGGGUGGGUUCUGUGUGGGUUCUGUCUGUGCCUGUGUGGGUUCUGUCUGUGCCGGAGUGGGUUCUGUCUGUGCUUGUGUGGGUUUUGUCUGUGCCUGUGUGGGUUCUGUGUGGGUUCCGCCUGUGCCUGUGUGGGUUCUGUGUGGAUUCUCUCCAGGCAGUUUCACUGCACAAAGCAGCUAUAUGCUAAUUUGCU
rnacentral:lncRNA from 1 species